ACAGCUAUUCAAAUCAUGGGUGGCUAAAAUGUGUGUGUGGGUUCAUUUUGUUUUAGAGCUUUUAUCUGAGCAUGGUUCUGGACUUAAAACAUGUAUUAAGGAGGCGAGAGGCAAGUCUGCUUCCUGCUCUGGACCACUUCACCCCUGCCGCCUGCUGGGAUUUGACACAAGAGCUUCCAAUUACGAUGCUAUCUUUGUUAGCUCUAAGCCUGAUUUUUCCUAGAUUCCUAGACCUACUAUCAUGAAAAGAGCCUGUAGAAAGAUGUCAUCACAUGUUUCCAAACGUCUUUCUGGUUUGUGAAAGCCCAGCAGACAGCAGCAGAGACACAGGAGCUUCCUCUUCAAUCAUGGCAGUGGUGGGGUGCCGUGAGUCAUCCCAGUUCAAGAUAAAGUUGCAUUGUUUUCUUUUUCAUUCAGGC